GUUAUUGUAGCUUAAAAUUUUAAAGCGCAGUACUGAAAAUACUGAAAUGGGUCGACAACGCUCCAAAAACA
rnacentral:tRNA from 1 species